rnacentral:rRNA from 1 species
CAGUCGCCGCGGUAAUACGUAGGUGGCAAGCGUCGUCCGGAAUUAUUGGGCGUAAAGGGCUCGCAGGCGGUUUCUUAAGUCUGAUGUGAAAGCCCCCGGCUCAACCGGGGAGGGUCAUUGGAAACUGGGAAACUUGAGUGCAGAAGAGGAGAGUGGAAUUCCACGUGUAGCGGUGAAAUGCGUAGAGAUGUGGAGGAACACCAGUGGCGAAGGCGACUCUCUGGUCUGUAACUGACGCUGAGGAGCGAAAGCGUGGGGAGCGAACAGGAUUAGAUACCCCCGUAGUCCCUGUCUCUUAUAU